rnacentral:sRNA from 1 species
GGCCGGUCCGAUGGUAGGGAGUUACUAGAACUUAUUGACAUUAGUGUCACUAAAGUUAGUAUAUAACCUCCCCCCUGCUAAAUUUGCCUGGGGAAAA